GGAAUCUUCCACAAUGGGCGCAAGUCUGAUGGAGCAACGCCGCGUGAGUGAAGAAGGGUUUCGGCUCGUAAAACUCUGUUGUUAAAGAAGAACAUAUCUGAGAGUAACUGUUCAGGUAUUGACGGUAUUUAACCAGAAAGCCACGGCUAACUACGUGCCAG
rnacentral:rRNA from 1 species